AAUUAUCCACUCACCUGACUCAAAAGCAAACUGCACACACAAGCUGAAACCGAAGGAAAUUCUACUGACGUCCUGCCGGUAGAAUAUCAGGAUUAUCUGAAUACAAAGGAGACAUAUUCAAGAACGACUCGAAAGAACAUUUAACCUAUUUAAUACACUUAACUAAGGGUGUAUUCCGUAAUCCUAUAUAUUUUUGAACUAACUAGUCAAUUUUCUUAAAAACCCAAAAUCUAACGGUUUUCCCGAAAUCUAAUCCAUAAUAAAAACAACUAAUAAAAUUGGUAAUAAUUCACUAAAUAACCCUUAAUUAUUCAUCAAACUAAUCUGCAAAAGCUAAUAUUACAGCUAGGGACUAAUAUGGAAUUUUUCUAUAUUUUUAGGGCCAAAUUGUAACUUUUGUCAAAUGGAGGACCAAACUGAAAUUUGUCAUAAAUCCAUGAAUAUACUGAAAUUCUGACCUUAAUUAAUCCUCAAUUAUGUCCAGGAUGUAUCAUUAUGCUUCAGGGAUCAUUCUGGAAUUUUACUAAAUUUUUAGGGUCAAAUCGUACUUUUUGUCAAAUUGGAGGACUAAAUUGAAAGUGUUAAAUUCUCUUAUCUAUACAGUAAUUAUGUCCAUAAUUCAUAUGUUAUUCUGUUCAGAAUCUCGGAAUAUGCUCCAGGGACCAAUUUGUAAUUUUCCAAAGUUCAGGGACUAAACUGUAAUUUUCGGAAAUUGAGGGACCAAAUUGAAUUUUCGUCAUCUUCAACCUCCAGUCCAGAUUUUAACAGAAACCCCACUGUUCUCCCCUGAUUUCUAACUCAAUUUUCACCAUUUACACAAUUCUAUAACUCAAAAUCAUCAUAAUCUUCCAUAAUCAACUAAAUCAUCAAUUAAACACAACAAUCAACCCCUAACCUUCAAUUUAAUUCAUCAAUUUAAAUCAAACACAAAUUCUCAAAACCCUAACAUUCAUAAAAACUAAAAUUAAAGCUUAAUUAACAUAUUAUACACAUUAAACAACCUAAAUCUUACCUUUUUCACUUAUUUCCUCCAAUUCUCUUCCUUUUUCCCUUAUUUUCCCCUCUUUUCUCUUCUUCUUCUUUCCUUUCUCACUUCUGCCGAUUCUCUUCCUCUCAAAAUCAGAUUUCUAUUAUUUUUUUUUUUUUUUUACUUCCUUUUUAUAUUUAUCAACUAUUUAUCCAAUUACUACUAUACCCCUCAUUUAAUUUAUUCCUACAUCUAAGCCUUCAAGGGGUUUCUAGGCUUUUCCUAUCUCAUUAAUUCAAAACAUUACAGUUUGACCUUUUGAUUCUGUUUGUUUGUGGCUCCCAGGCCUCUAUAGUUUUUGAAUGGAAAAUAGAAUAUGUGUUUUCAAGUGUUUAAGGAAUUAAUUAACUUGGCCUUGCUUGGGCUGCGUCCUUUUAUUUUCACUCUGUGCAGAUGUUCUAUAGCAGAUCACUUGACUACAGUAACGGAAAAGGCAUCUUUAACCUUGAUUUUGCAUUUGGAUCGAGGAUUUUUCAUCAGUCUUUUGUUCCUCCAAUUCUCUUCCUUUUUCCCUUAUUUUCCCCUCUUUUCUCUUCUUCUUCUUUCCUUUCUCACUUCUGCCGAUUCUCUUCCUCUCAAAAUCAGAUUUCUAUUUUUUUUUUUUUACUUCCUAUUUAUAUUUAUCAACUAUUUAUCCAAUUACUACUAUACCCCUCAUUUAAUUUAUUCCUACAUCUAAGCCUUCAAGGGGUUUCUAGGCUUUUCCUAUCUCAUUAAUUCAAAACAUUACAAUCUCCCCACCUUAUAAAAGUUUCGUCCUCGAAACUUAAUAGAAAAGAUUGAGUACUUACCGAGAUUAUCGAAAAGAUGAGGAUACUCCUCACGCAUCUUAUCCUCGAGCUCCCAUGUCGCUUCCUCACGUGAAUGGCCUUUCCAUUUCACUUUCACUGAAGCUAUGUCCUUCGACCUAAGCUUCCUCACUUGUCGGUCGACUAUAGCUUCCGGUUGCACCUCAUAAACCAUAUCAUCCCUCAAGUCAAUAGGAUGAACCUCUAACACAUGCGAUGGAUCUGACAUAUAUUUCCUUAACAUGGAAACAUGAAAUACCGGAUGAAUAGCAGACAAGUUUGGUGGUAAUGCUAACCGAUAAGCAACUGCCCCAACUCUCUCCAGAAUCUCAUACGGUCCAAUGAAUCGAGGACUCAACUUGCCUUUCUUCCCAAACCUGAAUACUCCUUUUGUAGGUGAUACUUUUAAGAACACACAAUCACCCACUGAAAACUCUAAGUCACGCCUUCUUCUAUCUGCGUAACUUUUAUGUCUACUCUGAGCUGUUUGAAGCUUCUUUCUAAUUACCUCAAUCUUCUCUGAGGUAAUCUGAAUCAACUCCGGUCCCAUUAGCCUCUUCUCACCAACCUCAAACCAACAAACCGGUGAUCUACACUUCCGACCAUACAAAGCCUCAUAAGGUGCCAUCUCUAUGCUAGCCUGAUAACUGUUGUUGUAAGCAAAUUCCACUAAUGGUAGGAACUUACUCCAACCAACUCCAAAAUCCAUAACACAAGCCCUUAACAUAUCCUCCAAGGUCUGAAUAGUCCUCUCAGACUGACCAUCUGUCUGAGGGUGAAAAGCUGUACUCAACUGCACCUUAGUACCCAUAGCUUCUUGAAAUUUCACCCAAAACCGCGAUGUAAACUGUGGACCUCUAUCAGACACUAUCGAGAUUGGCACUCCAUGCAACCGUACAAUCUCACUAAUAAACAAUUCCGCCAACUUUGCAUAUCCAUAAGUAAUCUUAACUGGCAGAAAAUGGGCUGAUUUGGUCAACCUGUCAACAAUCACCCAUAUCGAAUCAUAACCCUCCUGACUCCUAGGCAAUCCUGUCACAAAGUCCAUUGUGAUCCUUUCCCACUUCCAUUCUGGAAUCAACAAUGGUUGUAACAAUCCAGGAGGUUUCUGGUGUUCACCCUUUACCCUCUGACAGGUCAAACACCUAGAAACAAAAUCUGCUACAUCAGCCUUCAUCCUAUUCCACCAAUAACACACCUUAAGGUCUUUAUACAUCUUGGUGGAACCUGGAUGCAUUGUGUAAACUGUCUGAUGUGCCUCUAUCAUCAAUUCUCUCCUCAGAUCAUCAACAUCAGGUACACAAAGCCUAUCCCUAUAUCUCAGCACAUCAUCAUCACCAAUCACAAAACUUGCAGCCUUACCCUGCUCAACCUCAUUUCUAAUCCUGAGUAGUGAAUCAUCUUUCUUCUGAGCUGCUUUUAUCUUAUCAAACAAAUCUGACUUAACCUGAAAAUGAGCAAUCAUUGCUCCAGCUUCACUAAGAUCAAAUCUGACUCCUUCAUCCACUAACUCAUGCAGCUCCCUAAUCAGAGGUCUUCGUACCUCCUGAAUAUGAGCUAAGCUCCCUGAUGAUUUUCUACUCAAAGCAUCGGCAACUACAUUUGCCCUACCCGGGUGGUACUGUAUGGUACAAUCAUAAUCCUUCAGUAGUUCCAUCCAUCUCUCUGCCUCAGGUUUAGAUCCUCUGCUGAAAGAUGUAUUUCAAACUCUUGUGAUCUGUAAAGAUCUCACAAGUUUCACCAUACAAGUAGUGCCUCCAAAUCUUCAAAGCAAAAAUUACAGCCGCCAUCUCUAAAUCAUGUGUAGGAUAGUUCUGUUCAUGCUUCUUCAGCUGCCGUGAAGCAUAGGCAAUAACCUUGCCAUGCUGCAUUAGAACACAUCCUAACCCCACUCUCGAAGCAUCACAAUACACUGUGUAACCACCAGAACCUGAUGGUACUGCUAGAAUAGGCGCUGUAGUCAAUCUCUCCUUCAACUCUAAGAAACUUUUCUCACAAGCUUCAGACCACUGAAACUUAACAUUUUUCUGCGUUAACUUAGUCAAUGGUGCAGAAAUUCGAGAAAAGUUCUCCACAAACCUCCGAUAGUAGCCGGCCAAACCUAAGAAACUUCUAAUCUCUGUCGCCGAAGUAGGCCUAAGCCACUGCUUAACUGCUUCAAUCUUUUGAGGAUCAACCUCAAUCCCAUUCCUUGACACUACAUGCCCAAGAAAUGCUACACUCUCCAACCAAAACUCACUCUUUGAGAACUUGCCAUACAACUGAUGAUCUCGCAGAGUUUGAAGCACCAUUCUCAAAUGCUGCUCAUGCUCCUCUCUAGACCUCGAAUACACCAAAAUAUCAUCAAUAAAAACUAUCACAAAUCGAUCAAUAAAUUGGCCAAACACUCUAUUCAUCAAGUCCAUAAAAGCUGCUGGUGCAUUCGUCAACCCAAAAGACAUCACUAAAAACUCAUAAUGACCAUACCGAGUUCUAAAAGCUGUCUUUGAAAUGUCCUCCUCCCUAAUCCUCAACUGAUGAUACCCAGAUCGAAGAUCGAUCUUAGAAAAGAAUUGAGCUCCCUGUAACUGAUCAAACAAAUCAUCUAUACGAGGGAGUGGGUAUCUAUUUCGAACUGUCACCCGAUUCAAUUGCCUAUAAUCUAUACACAACCUCAAUGACCCAUCUUUCUUCUUCACAAACAACACCGGAGCUCCCCAAGGGGACACACUUGGUCGGAUGAACUUUUUAUCCAAUAAAUCCUGCAGCUGCUCCUUUAACUCCCUCAAUUCUGCUGGCGCCAUUCUAUAUGGUGCCAUUGAUAUUGGUUCAGUGCCCGGAACCAAAUCAAUACAAAACUCAAUCUCCCUAUACGGAGGCAAUCCAGGUAAGUCAUCGGGAAAUACAUCGAUAAACUCUCUUACUAUAGGGACUUCCUCUAACUGGGGAACUUCUUUCUCUACAUCCACUAUAUAUGCUAGGUAGCACUGUACCCCUUUUCGGGCCAUUUUCCUCGAGAUAGCCGACAACAUAAUUGAUGGAGACCCAAUCUUAUCUCCUUGAAAUACCAACCCAACUUCUUGAUCUAGAUCAAACAUUAUUUUCUUACCCCAACAAUUUACCGAAGCCCUAUGCUUAGCCAACCAAUCCAUUCCCAAAAUCACAUCAAAAUCAACCAUAUCUAAGACAUUUAAGUCUCCCAUAAAGAUCUUAUCUCCAAUCUCUAUUUCACAAUCCAGAUACACAUACUUUACUAAUAUUAACUCAUCUAAGGGAGUGGAGACUGAAAUGGGGGAUUUUAACAAGGUUGGUUGUUUAUCUAACCUCAUGGCAAAAUAUGAGGACACAAACGAAUGAGUUGCACCCGUAUCAAACAAAACUUUUGCUUCAAAAGAUCAAACAGGAACAACAUGUUGAGGUGUGGAUGUACUGCCCUACCUCCUAUACCUUGCAUUUCUAAACUUCACAAUAUGGACAUCAUCUUUAUUGUCAUUUACUCUAAUAGUAUCAGCUAUUCAUCUAUUCCUCGGCAUUUCCUAAAAUAAAAGAGAGAUCACUUAAGUCAUGCUAGAACAAUAGCAUGAUAAUUAUCUCAGAAUUAUAGGAAAGCAUAUCUAUCACAAGGAAGAAGACAUACUUGAUGAGAAUUUAAAAUUUCAAAAACAACAAACAAGACGAUACGGAUCCUAAUGCUCCACUUAUUAUGAAAUUAAUUAUAUUAUUGUUUCUUUAACCUAAAGCUCUGAUACCAAGUUUGUCACGACCCGAAUCCCGGAUCCAUGACCGGCACAUAGGCAAGGUUCCCCUCCAAGGUUCCAAACCUAUGCGAACCCAAACUUACAUACAAUCCUUUAAACAACUCAAUCAGAGUUUAACGCAGAAUUAACAACAAACAACUUCAUAAUAUAAUUCGAUUGUCUUAAUACAAGAGUUAAUAAUUUCAUAGUUUUGGAGCACUAACUUGACACAAAAGGAAGGUACAAAUUACAACCAAAAGGCAGGUUCGGAAGGUUCAACAAAAGUAACCUGCUAUCAAGCUAUAAGCCUGAAAAGGAUAAAUAAUGAGAGGGUGAGUUCAACAACUCAGUGAGUAGAUAACGUUCAAUAUACACACACGAGGUAAUAUAACAAUGAGAAAUAUAUAUACAAGUAUGGCUUUAGUUCUUAUACGAAGGUUUAUCAAAUAGGCCAUAACAAGAAUAUCAUAUGGUAAAACUCGUCAGAAAAUCAAAAUGCAAUGAGCAUGAGGCUCCGUACUGUGGGAUGAUCAGUCCACACAGGUUGGUGACUCCCCCGACCAACUAGGGUUCAGAUACGAUGUGCACAAAGACUAACACUACCCUGUUAGCAUGGGUAUUCUGACUGACAUACCAUAGGUUCAUAAUCAUAAUCAAACAAACAUAUUCAUAUCUCAAAGCUCAACUCAUGACAUCCAUCAAAUGAGGAGCUAUCAAUUCAGAAGUCAAAUCAUAUUGGUUCAUAUCAAGAAUCAGAUUCAAUAAUUGAUCAUGCUUUAUCAUAUCAAGGAUAAUAAUCAGCAUAUAUAUUAUCAAGAAGCAUGAUCCAAUUCAUAUUAACAAAUCAAAUAUUUAUAAUAUUUCUCAUGCAUAUGGAAAAUUAUCCACUCACCUGACUCAAAAGCAAACAACACACACAAGCUGAAACCGAAGGAAAUUCUACUGACGUCCUGCCGGUAGAAUAUCAGGAUUAUCUGAAUACAAAGGAGACAUAUUCAAAAACGACUCGAAAGAACAUUUAACCUAUUUAAUACACUUAACUAAGGGUGUAUUCCGUAACCCUAUAUAUUUUUGAACUAACUAGUCAAUUUUCUUAAAAACCCAAAAUCUAACGGUUUUCCCGAAAUCUAAUCCAUAAUAAAAACAACUAAUAAAAUUGGUAAUAAUUCACUAAAUAACCCUUAAUUAUUCAUCAAACUAAUCUGCAAAAGCUAAUAUUACAGCUAGGGACUAAUCUGGAAUUUUUCCAUAUUUUUAGGGCCAAAUUGUAACUUUUGUCAAAUGGAGGACCAAACUGAAAUUUGUCAUAAAUCCAUGAAUAUACUGAAAUUCUGACCUUAAUUAAUCCUCAAUUCUGUCCAGGAUGUAUCAUUAUGCUUCAGGGAUCAUUCUGGAAUUUUACUAAAUUUUAGGGUCAAAUUGUAAUUUUUGUUAAAUUGGAGGACUAAAUUGAAAGUGUUAAAUUCUCUUAUCUAUACAGUAAUUAUGUCCAUAAUUCAUAUGUUAUUCUGUUCAGAAUCUCGGAAUAUGCUCCAGGGACCAAUUUGUAAUUUUCCAAAGUUCGGGGACUAAACUGUAAUUUUCGGAAAUUGAGGGACCAAAUUGAAUUUUCGUCAUCUUCAACCUCCAGUCCAGAUUUUAACAGAAACCCCACUGUUCUCCCCUGAUUUCUAACUCAAUUUCACCAUUUACACAAUUCUAUAACUCAAAAUCAUCAUAAUCUUCCAUAAUCAACUAAAUCAUCAAUUAACACAACAAUCAACCCCUAACCUUCAAUUUAAUUCAUCAAUUUAAAUCAAACACAAAUUCUCAAAACCCUAACAUUCAUAAAAACUGAAAUUAAAGCUUAAUUAACAUAUUAUACACAUUAAACAACCUAAAUCUUACCUUUUUCACUUAUUUCCUCCAAUUCUCUUCCUUUUUCCCUUAUUUUCCCCUCUUUUCUCUUCUUCUUCUUUCCUUUCUCACUUCUGCCGAUUCUCUUCCUCUCAAAAUCAGAUUUCUAUUUUUUUUUUUUUUUACUUCCUUUUAUAUUUAUCAACUAUUUAUCCAAUUACUACUAUACCCCUCAUUUAAUUUAUUCCUACAUCUAAGCCUUCAAGGGGUUUCUAGGCUUUUCCUAUCUCAUUAAUUCAAAAC
rnacentral:lncRNA from 1 species